rnacentral:rRNA from 1 species
GGGGAUAUUGCACAAUGGGGGAAACCCUGAUGCAGCGACGCCGCGUGGGUGAAGAAGUAUUUCGGUAUGUAAAGCUCUAUCAGCAGGGAAGAAGAUGACAGUACCUGAGUAAGAAGCCCCGGCUAACUACGUGCCAGCAGCCGCGGUAAUACGUAGGGGGCAAGCGUUAUCCGGAUUUACUGGGUGUAAAGGGAGCGUAGACGGUUGUAUAAGUCUGGAGUGAAAGCCCGGGGCCCAACCCCGGGACUGCUUUGGAAACUGUGUAACUUGAGUACAGGAGGGGCAGGCGGAAUUCCUGGUGUAGCGGUGAAAUGCGUAGAUAUCAGGAGGAACACCGGCGGCGAAGGCGGCCUGCUGGACUGAAACUGACGUUGAGGCUCGAAAGCGUGGGGAGCAAACAGGA